CUGUGUCUCAAUUACCUUGUUAACUCAUCCACAUAUUAGCCUGGUUUUUGUCUUUGGUUGCUGGUUUAUUGUUUUCUGUUAUGUGUGUCUGUUACCAUGUUUUUUUGUUUUCUGUUAUGUGUGUCUGUUACUCUGUUUUUCCCUGAUUUGGAUUACGUUGUUUGUUUUUGGACUCUUUAAUAAAUACUGCACCUGGAUCUUCUUGUUUUGGCGCAUUCUGUGACAGAAUAACCCAACCAUUAACAGAUCCAGCAGCAAGGCUGGGCUUCAGAUUGUGGACCAUGGGCAUUCGUAUUCUUCCUUCUGCUUCAAAGGAGCGGGAGGCUUGGCUCUGGAUGUUGGCGGCUCUUCGCCAACAGGGGAUGAAAGUGGGAGGUUUUGCUCAGACCUUCUGGACUUUGGCAGUAGGGCUGGAACUGAGUGAGUCUGAGCUCAGCAAGACUUUUAAUGACUGCCUAGACAAUACCUUCCCUCCUCGGGAGAUUGAGAGGCUUAAGACUGUUGACGUUUGGAAAAUCAUUGAUUAUCUUUGUUACCGCAACUUUGUAAGGACAUGUUGGUCUGAGUCAAUUGCAGUGCUCCUGGAGAUCCCUGAGCCCGCUCCAGUGGAUAGCGAAUCUUCACUGUCUCAGUCUCGCAAGUGAAGGUCGAGAAGGAGGAGGGCAGCAAGGUCCACUAAAGUUCUCCCGGAGCCCACUCAAGUCCUUUAAUCUGCGCCAGAGCCUGCUCCAGUCUAUGAGUCUGACCCAAGUCCGCUGGUCCUGGAGGACACGACUCAGGUGAUCUUGAGUCCAGUGGUCCUGGAGGACCUGACUCUGGUGGUCUCAGAUGUCACCACAGAGCCGCCUAAUUUCACUGCUGCUGCCAUAGUCAAGAAGGCCAUCUUUGCCUUUGGCCUCUGGACUGUUCUGUGUGCAUGGGAGCAUUCAGAACCUGCUCCAGUCCGGGAGUAUUCUGAGUCCACUCCACAACCCGCUCCAGUCUAGGAGCCUUCAGUGUCCACUUAUGAACAAGCUCCAGUACAGGAGUCCUUGGAGCUCACUCCAGCGCCCGCUCAAGUCUAGGAGCUCACUCCAGAGCCAGCUCCAUUCUAUGAAUUAAUUCUAGAGUUUGUUUCAGUCUACAAAUCCACUCCAGAGCUUACUCAAGUUUAUGAGAUUACUCCUUAGCUCAUUCCAGUCCAAGAGUCCACUACUGAGUCUGCUCUAGUUCCUCCCAAGGUGGUGGUUUCUGCUGUGGAGCCUUCUCAAGGCGGUGGCCUCUUCAACUCCCCUCUGAGUGGGGAUGUCCACUCCUGAACUCUGUCUACCUUGUCAUCGCCAAGGAGACUGUUGAACUGUCUGCCUGUCCUAUUACAGCCAUCAAGGCUGCUACUAAGCUUGUGCUCUUCUUUGCAGUCCUGUCUGAGUUGCUGGUGGCUCCAUCGGCCUUGUCAGUUCUGCUGAGGUGGUCAUCAGGUCUGCCUUUGCUGACUGCCAAGCUCCUGGCUCUGACCUGGUUGCCCGCUGGGGUUGUUGUUCAGCUGUAGCCUCACUGGUCUGUCCCUCGAACCCCGGCCUGGCCUCCUGCCCUGCCGGCCCCGCCCUGGUCUCCUACCUUGCCAGCUCCACCCUGGCCCUAUGGCCUACUGUACCUCUGUUUCUAGACCUCUUUCACUACAUGCACCUGGCCCGCCAUCCCUCCCCCUGGUCUGCCUCCCUCCUGGAUUUCAUUGACUUUGUGGAGCAUCUUGAAUCCGCUCCUUAGAGGAGAGGUAAUGUCACAGUGUCUAGUUGGUGUGCCCAUGUAUAGCUACCAGAGGGCACACUUCUUAGUUUUGUUUGUUUCUCUGGACUUCAGUUCCCAUCACCCUUUGCUUUAACCAUCAAGUCUCAUUACAUUCAGCUGUCUCAAUUACCUUGUUAACUAAUCCACAUAUUAGCCCGGUUUUCUUUGUCUUUGGUUGCUCGUUUAUUGUUUUCUGUUAUGUGUCUGUUACUGUUUUUCCCUGAUUUGGAUUACAUUGUUUGUUUUUGGACUCUUUAAUAAAUGCUGCACUUGGAUCUUGUUUUUAAGCAUUCCGUGACAGUUUGAUUGUUUGUUUUUAUUUACAUUUUAGUUGCUAAAGUCAUACAAUGAAAAAUUAAAAACCGUGUGUCUUUACUGCCUUUCACCUCAGGCACUCAAACACUCAAAACAGCAACCACCAAAAUAGCAAACAUUGAAUUUAGUUAAAUGGAAAUUUUUUUAGUGUAUUGUAUGCUGCUCAUUCUGCUUAUGGCAAAACAUUGCAGCACUCACACUGCACAGGAACUCAUGCUAGGUUUACCCGUAAACAAAAGGCCAUUGACACUGAGAUGAGUCUUGUUUGCAUCACAAGAACAACGAAGAAAAAACACAGCUUCUUUUAAUAAUGCAGAAGACUGCUGAGAAUAUCAUCUUAUUAUGAACCCUUUUUUCAUUCUUCAAAGUAUUGUACACUGACUGUUUUGGCAAUCCAACAUACUUGAGGAGAGAGAUAUGAAGUGCCAUCAUUUUCUACCAAUAUCUGAGAACUCAGCUGAUGAUUCAGAUAUAAUGUGAAACUUGCUAAUGAGUGAAAUACUGCAGGUGUAGUACAAUCUUCUUCACAUCUAAGAAAUGAAGAAAAAAAAAUUAUACUAGCAGUGUUGUCAGUGUCUGUUGGUAGUGGGUGGAGAAGUACAAAAUCUAAAAGGACAUCUGUUGUGGCACAUGUUUGCAGCUGACCUGAUUGUUAACCUUUUGUCAGAGACUAUCUGAUUGUCCCUCGCCAUUUUGUUGAUCAGGUGCUUCAACAAACCCAAG
ensembl:lncRNA